rnacentral:rRNA from 1 species
ACGAACGCUGGCGGCGUGCUUAACCCAUGCCAGUCGAACGGAAAGGCCCUGCUUUUGUGGGGUGCUCGAGUGGCGAACGGGUGAGUAACACGUGAGUAACCUGCCCUUGACUUUGGGAUAACUUCAGGAAACUGGGGCUAAUACCGGAUAGGAGCUCCUGCUGCAUGGUGGGGGUUGGAAAGUUUCGGCGGUUGGGAAUGGACUCGCGGCUUAUCAGCUUGUUGGUGGGGUAGUGGCUUACCAAGGCUUUGACGGGUAGCCGGCCUGAGAGGGUGACCGGCCACAUUGGGACUGAGAUACGGCCCAGACUCCUACGGGAGGCAGCAGUGGGGAAUAUUGCACAAUGGGCGGAAGCCUGAUGCAGCAACGCCGCGUGCGGGAUGACGGCCUUCGGGUUGUAAACCGCUUUCGCCUGUGACGAAGCGUGAGUGACGGUAAUGGGUAAAGAAGCACCGGCUAACUACGUG